rnacentral:rRNA from 1 species
AUACGUAGGCAGCGAGCGUUGUUCGGAGUUACUGGGCGUAAAGCGUGCGUAGGCGGUUCCGCAAGUUCGGUGUGAAAUAUCCCGGCUCAACUGGGAGGGUGCGCCGAAAACUGCGGAGCUUGAGCGUGGGAGAGGGAAGCGGAAUUCCUGGUGUAGCGGUGAAAUGCGUAGAUAUCAGGAGGAACACCGGUGGUGUAGACGGCUUCCUGGACCACUGCUGACGCUGAGGCACGAAAGCGUGGGGAGCAAACAGGAUUAGAAACCCUUGUAGUCC